CAGGAAGCAAGAGAGAGAGACAGAGGGGAGGUAACAGGCUCCUUUUAGCCAUCAGCUCUCAUGGGAAUUGACAGAACGAGAAUUCACUCACCCCCACCCACCUCCUGGAGGGGAUUAAUCUAUUCAUGAGGGAUCCACCCCCAUGACCCAAACACCUCCCAUUAGGCCUCACCUCCAACACUGGAGAUCAGACUCCAACAUUAGAUUUGGAAGGGACAAGCAUCCAAGCUGUAGCAUGGUUCCAGGUUGGAAAUCAUUUUCCCUUCAACAUUCGAAGGCAGUGCACUCAGUGUUGCUGUUGAGAAAUCUGAAGCCGUGCAGAUUCCCAUCUCCGGGUUGUAUCUGUUUGCUCGGGAUGCCAUAACAAAGGACCACAGACUGGGGGGUUUAAACAGCAGAAGUUUACUUUCUCACAGUACUGGAGGCUGGAAGUCUGAGGUCAAGGUGCUGGCGGUGUCGGUUUCUCCUGAGCCCUCUCUCUUUUGCCGGGGCUGUUCUGCUUGCUGGAUUGGAAAUGAUUUUAGCCCCUCAUGCCAGGAAGAAAACAUAGGCAGAUUUCUCACCAGCUAAAAAGGAAGGAAAAAUUGUGAAGUGAAAUUUUCUACUGGCUGUGGUUUAUCCAUGUUAAAUUGUAAAGCAUAUAACACAGAUGGAAUCCGGCACAUGCAAAACACUCACAAAACCUAGUUACUACUACUGCUGGCGCUGCGGCUACACGACUACAACUACUACUACAGCCACUACUCUCCUCCUACUGCUACUGCUGCUGCUGCUAGUGUUUCGUAAAGUGGAGCUACAGAAAUCAACAUUUUUUUUCUUAGCUGCACAGUGAAUUCGUUUUUUGGACUCCAGUAUUCUUCCUGAAGGUCUGUUUCAUCCUAGUAUGACUCUCACUUUUUUUUCAAAAUUUUAUUUUAUUUUAUUUUUGAAAUGGAGCCUCACUCUGUUGCCCAGGCUGGAGUGCAGUGGCGUGAUCUCGGCUCACUACAACCUCCGCCUCUGGGUUCAAGAGAUUCUCCUGCCUCGGCCUACUGAGUAGCUGGGAUUACAGGCACGCGCCACCACGCCCAGCUAAUUUUUGUAUUUUCAGAAGAGAUGGGGUUUCACCAUGUUGGCCAGGAGGGUCUCAAUCUCCUGACCUCAUGAUCCGCCUGCCUCGGCUUCCCAAAGUGCUGGGAUUGCAGGCGUGAGCCACCAUGCCUCUACAUUUUAAUUUUUUAAAACUUACCAUCUUUAUCAUUUUUAAGUGUACAGUUAAGUGGUAAUAAAUACAUAUGUAUCUCCUAUCUCAUUUCCUUAUUUUCAUCCCCCAUCCCAUUUCUGGACUCUGGCUAAUAGCAGUCUACUCGGUAUCAUCACGAGAUCCACGUUUUUAGUUUCCACAUAUGAAUGAGAACAUGCGAUAUUUGUCUUUCUGUGCUUGGCUUAUUUCACUUAACAUAAUGGCCUCUGGUUCCAUCCAUGCUGCUGCAAGUGACAGGAUUUCACUCUUUUUAUAGCUGAAUAAUAUUCCAUUGUGUAAAUAUAACACAUUUCCUUUAUUCAUCUGUUGAUGGGUACUUACGUUGAUUCUAUAUUUUGAAUAGUGCUGCAGUAAACAUGGGAGGGAGAUAUCUCUUUAAUAUACUGAUUUCCUUUCUUUUGAGUAUAUACCCAGCAGUGAAAUUGCUAGACCAAAUGGUAGUUCUAUUUUUAGUUUUUUUGCAGAACCUCCAUACUGUUCUAAUUUACAUUCCCACCAACAGCGUAUGAGGAUUCCCCUUUCUCCACAUCUUCGCCAGAUCUGUUAUCGCCUGCCUUUAUUUACUUAUUUUUAUUUUUAAUUCUUGUGGGUACGUAGUAGGUAUAUAUGGGAUACAUUAGCUGUUUUGAUAUAGACAUGCAAUCUGUAAUAAUCAUAUCAUGGAAAAUGGGGUAUCCGUCCCCUCAAGCAUUUAUUCUUUGUGUUACCAACAAUUCAAUUAUACUCUUUCAGUUAUUUUGAAAUGUAUAAUUAAAUUAUUAUUGAUGU
rnacentral:lncRNA from 1 species